CUGCGGCGCUGAAAUGGUUCACCGCCGCAGCUAUAGCCAGAGUCACAGCCCAAAAAGCCGUGAUUCUUUUUGGAAAAUUUGACGACCAGCAGGGGCAUCCGGGCUGGUGCCCGGACUAUCUGCGGGAUCCGUGGUGGUUUGACCCAAACCUUGAGACAGGUUUGGGUGGCCCUGCGGUUUCUACGCCGGUGGUGUCCCCUUACCGAGGGUGACCA
rnacentral:ncRNA from 1 species